UAGCAGAGGGUGCGAGCGUUAAUCGGAAUUACUGGGCGUAAAGCGUGCGUAGACGGCUAUCUAAGUCGGGUGUGAAAGCCCCGGGCUCCAACCUGGGAAUUGCAUUCGAGACUGAAUUAGCUAGGGUACGGUAGAGGGGAAGCGGAAUUUCCGGUGUAGCGGUGGAAAAUGCGUAGAUAUCGGAAAGAACACCAACGGCGAAAGGCACUCUGCCUGGGCCGACACUGACACUGAGAGACGAAAGCUAGGGGAGCAAAUGGG
rnacentral:rRNA from 1 species